rnacentral:lncRNA from 1 species
CUCAGAGCCUCGUGCUGUGUCACUAGGUUCCCCAUCCUCAGCUUCUGAGAGCUGCAGACAUGGGGUAGCCCUGUGACACUCCCCCACACAUGUCCUCUGUCACCCACGUGUGGGCCCUAGUUUCCUUCCCAGACAGCAACUACAGCCAGACAUGCUGAGGCCUGCAGAAUUUCUCUUCCCACAUGAAUGACUGGGCCACUCUAUGCACAGCACAGCCCUGUGAGCAAUAAAAACCUUAACUAAGACACAGAUCCAUCAUCAAGGGCAGAUGAGGCAGAAACCAUGAAGGAAUGCUGCUAACUGGCUUGCUUCCUCUGGCUUGCUCACCUACCUUUCUUAUACCACCCAUGCCCACCUGCUCAGGAGUGACUCCAACCCACAGUGGGAGCCUUCUCACGUCAAUCAGCAACCAAGAAAACAUGCUACAGUCUUGCCCACAGGCCAAUCGGAUGGAGGCAGUUCCUCAGUGGAGAGUCCUCUCUUCCCAGUUGCAGAGGGUUAGAGUCCAUGACCAUCAUGGUGGGGAGCGUGGCAGCAGGCAGGUGUGACACUGGAGCAGCAGCUGAGAGCUUACAUCUGAUCCAAGCACAAGGCAGAGAAAGAACUAACUGAGAAUGGUGUGAGUUUUUGAAACUUCACAGCCCAAUCACAGUGCCGACCU